rnacentral:lncRNA from 1 species
CGGCGCCCGCUCGUUCCCUCCUCUCGCCCCUUUGCCGAGUCUUUGUCUGGCCCCAGCCCCGCGGGGCCCCGGGUCCCUGUGCCCUCGGGGGUCCCUAGAAGGCGACAAUGGCUCGAGUCCAGGCGCCGAGGCUGGCGAGCGCCUGCUUGGCGCACAGCUGCCCGUUGAGCGGCGGCGGCUGCUCCGAGGAGUCCGGCUGUCGGCUCACCAGCCCCGAGAAGCCGGAGCCAAAGAUGGAGAUCAAGUUUGAGAUGUUGGACGCGUCCGGGGACGAGUCCGGGCAGAAGUCCUCGAAGCGGGCGCGCUUGCAGGGGGCGAACGGGGCGCCCCCGGGGGGCUCGGCCCCCAGCCCGCCCGCAUCCUCCUCGUCGUCUUCCUCCUCCUCCUGGCCAGGGUAAUACUUGCGCUUGCAGCCGGCGGCGGACGCCAGGCCCGGUCCCGGAGCGCCCUGGCCACAGCAGGGGCAGUGGGCGGAGGCGCAGCAGUCCUGGUGCAAGUAGCCGUUCUCCACCGUGGUCACCACGAGCCGGCUCAGGUGUCUCUCCCUCCAGGAAGUGGGGCUUGUGCCCUUUGGAUACCUGCACUCCCCAUCACCGCACUCCCCAUCGUGGCACUUCCCUUGUUGCAGUUUUAUGGAGUGUGCGUCUGGCUCUCCAACUAGACUUGAACCGCUUGAGUGCAUAACUCGGGACUUGACCAUUUGCGUCUCCCUACGGCCAGCUCAGCCUCCGCACACAGGGACCUGCAGAGAGUGGAUGUAGCCACUGCCCCAGCGUCCCUGGGCUCUGAAGAGAAGCCAUUGCCCUUCAAGAGCCACCCUCAUUUCCUGGGCACUGGUUGGAAAAAACGAAGAAAAAGAGACACCCAGCUCACCUCCAAGUUUGCCUGCAGGUGAAUAUCUUGUUGAAAGAGAGGGGACUCCCUGAGUCUUGCUGGGUUGAGGAAGCUGAUUGGAUUUCCGGACUCAGAGGAGGGCUGCAGAGAGGGAGGAAUGGGGGGGAUGGGCAGCUGGCUUUCUGGAUGGGUGCAGGACAAUGACAUUGAUGGGGAAGCUUGGGGUGGCUCUGCCGUUGCCCACUGCUUGGCUGGUGAACUUGCUACAUCUUGGCCAGCACUAUCCUCUUCUGGCCUGCACCCUGCCAGACACAGGCAGUACCCCAAAUACCCUGUCCCUGUGCCCCGAAGUCUCCAUGACCUUCAGAUCCCAAGGGACAAGUGGCUCCACGAGGCAGGGCCUGUCCCUCUGGCUCACACUAUGGAGUCCACAGAACCUAGCCCGGAGCCUAGUGCACAGUAGGUGCUCAAUGUAUUCUAUUUGAAUGUUGCAUGAGUGAAUAAAUGCAGGAAUGUCAGGCUGGAAAACAGGUAUUUGUACACCUGUUUUCAUAGCAGUGUUAUUCACAGUAGUCAAAGGGUGGAAGCAUCCCACGUGUCUGCUGAUGGGUGAACGAGUAAACAGAAUGUGCCCCAGCCAUACAAUGGAAUGCGAUUCAGCCUUUUUUUUUUGAGACGGAGUCUGGCUCUGUCACCCAGGCUGGAGUGCAGUGGCACGACCUCAGCUUGCUGCAACCUCUGUCUCCCGGGUUCAAGUGAUUCUCCUGCUUCAGCCUCCUGAGUAGCUGGGAUUACAGGCAUGUACCACCACACCUGGCUAAUUUUUAUAUUUUUAGCAGAGACAGGGUUUCACCAUGUUGGCCAGGGGCUGGUGUCGAACUCCUGACCUCAAGUGAUCCUCCCUCUUCGGCCUCUCAAAGUGCUGGGAUUACAGGCGUGAGCCACGGCGCCCGGCCACGAUUCACCCUUAAAAAAGGAAGGACAUUCUGACACAUGCUACGACUUGGGUGAACCUUGAGUACCUGAGUGAAAUAAGCCCAUCAAAAAAGGACAAAUAUUAGCCAGGUGCUGUGGCUAAUGCCUGUAAUCUCAGCACUUUGGGAGGCCAAGGACGGAGGAUUGCUUGAGGAUUGCUCAAUACCAGCCUGGGCCACAAAGCAAGACCACCCAUGUGAGGUGUUUAGAGUAGUCAAAUUCAUAGAGACAGUAGGAUGGGGAGUGCCAGGAGCUGGGGAGAAGGGGGAAUGGGGAGUUAGAGUUUAAUGGGGACAGAUUUUCAGUUUUACAAGAUGAAAAAUGUUCUGGAGAUGAUGGUGGUGAUAGAGGCACAAUGUGGAUAUGCUUCAUGC